CAGUUUAGUGAUCUGAACUG
rnacentral:piRNA from 1 species